rnacentral:rRNA from 1 species
GCUCAGGACGAACGCUGGCGGCGUGCCUAAAACAUGCAAGUCGAACGGUGUAGCAAUACACAGUGGCGAACGGCGGAGUAAUACAUAAGCAACGUGCCCUGAAGACUGGGAUAGUCAGAGGAAACUCUGGGUAAUACCAGAUGUGGCCGUUUCCCCGCAUGGGGAGACGAUCAAAUGGUUUUUCGCUUCAGGAGCGGCUUAUGGCCUAUCAGGUAGUUGGUGGGGUAAUGGCCUACCAAGCCGACGACGGGUAGCGGGUCUGAGAGGAUGAUCCGCUCGAGUGGGACUGAGACACGGCCCACACACCUACGGGUGGCAGCAGUUGGGAAUCUUGCACAAUGGGGGAAACCCUGAUGCAGCGACGCCGCGUGGAGGAUGAAGGAUCUAGGUCUGUAAACUCCUUUUUCAGGGAAAGACUUAGGACGGUACCCUGAGAAUAAGGACCGGCUAACUACGUGCCAGCAGCCGCGGUAAGACGUAGGGUCCAAGCGUUGUCCGGAUUUACUGGGCGUAAAGAGCGCGUAGGCGGCUCGUUAAGUGUGAAGCUAAAUCUCUAGGCUCAACCUGGAAACUAUUUCGCAUACUGGCAAGCUAGAGUGAUGAAGAGGUUUGUGGAAUUCCUGGUGUAGCGGUGAAAUGCGUUGAUAUCAGGAGGAACACCCAUGGCGAAGGCAGCAAACUGGUCAUCAACUGACGCUGAGGCGCGAAAGCGUGGGUAGCAAACAGGAUUAGAUACCCUGGUAGUCCACGCCCUAAACGAUGGAUACUAGGCGUAAGAGGUAUCGACCCCUCUUGUGCCGCAGCUAACGCAUUAAGUAUCCCGCCUGGGGAGUACGGCCG